GAUGAAUGCUGGCGGCGUGCCUAAUACAUGCAAGUCGAGCGAACGGACGAGAAGCUUGCUUCUCUGAUGUUCGCGGCGGACGGGUGAGUACCACGUGGCUAACCUACCUAUAAUACUGGGAUCACUUCGGGAAACCGGCGCUAAUACCGGAUAAUAUUUUGAACCGCAUGGUUCAAAAGUGAUAGACGGUCUUGCUGUCACUUAUAGAUGGAUCCGCGCUGCAUUAGCUAGUUGGUAAGGUAACGGCUUACCAAGGCAACGAUGCAUAGCCGACCUGAGAGGGUGAUCGGCCACACGGGAACUGAGACACGGUCCAGACUCCUACGGGAGGCAGCAGUAGGGAAUCUUCCGCAAUGGGCGAAAGCCUGACGGAGCAACGCCGCGUGAGUGAUGAAGGUCUUCGGAUCGUAAAACUCUGUUAUUAGGGAAGAACAUAUGUGUAAGUAACUGUGCACAUCUUGACGGUACCUAAUCAGAAAGCCACGGCUAACUACGUG
rnacentral:rRNA from 1 species